rnacentral:rRNA from 1 species
CCUACGGGGGGCAGCAGUGGGGAAUAUUGCGCAAUGGGCGAAAGCCUGACGCAGCGACGCCGCGUGAGGGAUGAAGGUCUUCGGAUCGUAAACCUCUGUCAGCAGGGAAGAACGGUCACUGUGCUAAUCAGCAGUGAAUUGACGGUACCUGCAAAGGAAGCACCGGCUAACUCCGUGCCAGCAGCCGCGGUAAUACGGAGGGUGCGAGCGUUAAGCGGAAUUACUGGGCGUAAAGCGCUCGUAGGCGGUAUGUCAAGUCAAGGGUGAAAUCCCCGCGCUCAACGUGGGAACUGCCUUUGAAACUGGCAAACUGGAGUGUGUGAGAGGCUAGUGGAAUUCCAGGUGUAGGAGUGAAAGCCGUAGAUAUCUGGAGGAACAUCAGUGGCGAAGGCGACUAUCUGGCACAUAACUGACGCUGAGGAGCGAAAGCGUGGGUAGCAAACAGGAUUAGAUACCCUAGUAGUC